ACCACUUGAAUUUUGCACCCCUCUCCCCCACUUAUUAACUUGGUUGUAACACCCAGAAGAGUAAGCACAGAAUAUUUACAGUAAAAAUGAACAGUGUGGAACUGUGACAGAUGGGCAUUAAUCUGUCAUCAAUUACAUCGGACACAGAACAGAACAAAGUUGGGAAGCUGAUCCUGAUGCAGAUGUGGAAGCCAGCUCUAAAGAAAAAGCUUUAUCCUCACUCAGAGUCCUGUGACACGGAGAGAAGAUCCAGGAUCAGAAAUUCCUGAUGGAGAUUUGGAAACCUGGAGAAUCUGGACUUUCAGAAACUCAGUCUGCUUCUUUCGUGGAUCAGAAUGUGGCACCAUUUCUCACAGAGUGGAAACCCUUCUGGAUGAGGCUGUUAUUGCUGAGCCAGUGCCAGGCCCCACUUUGGGUGCAGCAUUUGGAGCGGCGCUGAGCUCCGGCUGGUCACACAGCAGAGAAGCAGAGCUUGUUCCCUCAGGCAUGGAACAACACUAAUGUAAUUAUGCAGCUUUUAGGUCUAGAGCUAAUAUUUCCAACAGAAAUCAGAGCUGUGUUAUACCAGAUUGGCCAGUACUAACCCGAGGAUCUCUUUGUGAGAGAGGAUAAAGCCUUUUCUGAUGGAUACAGGGAUAUCUUUCUCAUUUGUGCCAACACCUGAUGCUAAGAAAUUAUGUUACUGAUAUUGGAACUAUCAGCAGAUCUCACUGCAAGUGUUAAACAUGGGACAGAAAUCUCUCUUUUUAAUAAAAAAAUAGGAUUAGAUUGAAACUAACUCCA
rnacentral:lncRNA from 1 species